GUGCUUGUUUCAACAGCACAUAUACUAAAACUGGGAUGACACAGGGAAGAUUUGCAUAGCUCCUGAGCAAGAAUGACACAAAUUUGUGAAAUAUUCUAUAUUAAA